rnacentral:rRNA from 1 species
GGUGAACGCUGGCGGCGUGCCUAAUACAUGCAAGUCGAGCGAACAGACGAGGAGCUUGCUCCUCUGACGUUAGCGGCGGACGGGUGAGUAACACGUGGAUAACCUACCUAUAAGACUGGGAUAACUUCGGGAAACCGGAGCUAAUACCGGAUAAUAUAUUGAACCGCAUGGUUCAAUAGUGAAAGACGGUUUUGCUGUCACUUAUAGAUGGAUCCGCGCCGCAUUAGCUAGUUGGUAAGGUAACGGCUUACCAAGGCAACGAUGCGUAGCCGACCUGAGAGGGUGAUCGGCCACACUGGAACUGAGACACGGUCCAGACUCCUACGGGAGGCAGCAGUAGGGAAUCUUCCGCAAUGGGCGAAAGCCUGACGGAGCAACGCCGCGUGAGUGAUGAAGGUCUUCGGAUCGUAAAACUCUGUUAUUAGGGAAGAACAAAUGUGUAAGUAACUAUGCACGUCUUGACGGUACCUAAUCAGAAAGCCACGGCUAACUACGUG